rnacentral:rRNA from 1 species
GACGAACGCUGGCGGCGUGCUUAACACAUGCAAGUCGAACGGUGAAGCGCCUUCCUUUUUGGUGGGUGUGGAUGAGUGGCGAACGGGUGAGUAACACGUGAGUAACCUGCCCCCUUCUUCUGGAUAACCGCAUGAAAGUGUGGCUAAUACGGGAUAUUCUGGGUCUGUCGCAUGAUGGGUCUGGGAAAGAUAUUGUUUCGGUGGGGGAUGGGCUCGCGGCCUAUCAGCUUGUUGGUGGGGUGAUGGCCUACCAAGGCGGUGACGGGUAGCCGGCCUGAGAGGGUGGACGGUCACACGGGGACUGGGACACGGCCCAGACUCCUACGGGAGGCAGCAGUGGGGAAUAUUGCACAAUGGGCGCAAGCCUGAUGCAGCGACGCCGCGGGAGGGAUGGAGGCCUUCGGGUUGUGAACCUCUUUCGCCAGUGAAGCAGGCCUGCCUCGUUUGUGGGUGGGUUGACGGUAGCUGGAUAAGAAGCGCCGGCUAACUACGUG